CUACUCCUUGCGGGGGGCAGCAGUAGGGAAUCUUCCGCAAUGGACGAAAGUCUGACGGAGCAACGCCGCGUGAGUGAUGAAGGUUUUCGGAUCGUAAAGCUCUGUUGCCAGGGAAGAAUGCUUGGGAGAGUAACUGCUCCCAAGGUGACGGUACCUGAGAAGAAAGCCCCGGCUAACUACGUGCCAGCAGCCGCGGUAAUACGUAGGGGGCAAGCGUUGUCCGGAAUUAUUGGGCGUAAAGCGCGCGCAGGCGGCCUUGUAAGUCUGUUGUUUAAACUUGGGGCUCAACCCCAAGUCGCAAUGGAAACUGCAAAGCUUGAGUACAGAAGAGGAAAGUGGAAUUCCACGUGUAGCGGUGAAAUGCGUAGAGAUGUGGAGGAACACCAGUGGCGAAGGCGACUUUCUGGGCUGUAACUGACGCUGAGCGCGUAGCUCCCCUC
rnacentral:rRNA from 1 species